UGUCGGUGGGCGGUUCCAGUCAGCGUGAUUGGCGCUCGAGCUCGGUACUCUGCGCAGUGCUGCUGUUUCUCACAGACUCUCGGCUCACAUACACACAGACUGUGGCGAAACCAGCAGCCACACGCGCAGCCUAAGCGCUCUGUCUCUCUCUCUAUCUGUCUCUCUCUUUUUCUCCUCCUCUUUGAGAAUGGUCCACCCGGUGCCUGAGGUUCAGCUGUCGCGGCCUGCCGCCCGUGUCUGAUCUCUCACCCACACAUACGCGCGCUCAAUACUAAUCAUGAUGUGAGAGGUGGGUACUGAGUAUCGUGCCCUCUCUUGCGUCUGCCGCUGCUUGGACCUGCUUAUAGUACCAGCCUCAGCUUUCCUGCCUGCUUGCUGCCCACAUCAGUGAAAGGACUGCUCGCACAACCCCAAAAUCUCUGUGACCCCGAACGACCCCUACACAAACACACAGAGCUGAAGUGGGCACUGUUGAAUCAGCCAAUAAGAUUCAAGGAUUUUGCUUUGGGAUCCAUUACUGCAGUUCUCUUUUUCAUACAGUAGCAGCAACAUUUUUUUUCUCUUUUUGGUUUGGCCUGGUGUGCAUCGGCAAGGAAAGAGGAGCUUAAUGAUCUAAGAAGAAAAGGAACAUUCUCAGAAGGACAAACACAAGCACACCCAAAGCAC